rnacentral:rRNA from 1 species
CGCGUGGGAACAUACCCUUUCCUGCGGAAUAGCUCCGGGAAACUGGAAUUAAUACCGCAUACGCCCUACGGGGGAAAGAUUUAUCGGGGAAGGAUUGGCCCGCGUUGGAUUAGCUAGUUGGUGGGGUAAAGGCCUACCAAGGCGACGAUCCAUAGCUGGUCUGAGAGGAUGAUCAGCCACAUUGGGACUGAGACACGGCCCAAACUCCUACGGGAGGCAGCAGUGGGGAAUAUUGGACAAUGGGCGCAAGCCUGAUCCAGCCAUGCCGCGUGAGUGAUGAAGGCCUUAGGGUUGUAAAGCUCUUUCACCGAUGAAGAUAAUGACGGUAGUCGGAGAAGAAGCCCCGGCUAACUUCGUGCCAGCAGCCGCGGUAAUACGAAGGGGGCUAGCGUUGUUCGGAAUUACUGGGCGUAAAGCGCACGUAGGCGGAUAUUUAAGUCAGGGGUGAAAUCCCGCAGCUCAACUGCGGAACUGCCUUUGAUACUGGGUAUCUUGAGUAUGGAAGAGGUAAGUGGAAUUCCGAGUGUAGAGGUGAAAUUCGUAGAUAUUCGGAGGAA